rnacentral:rRNA from 1 species
CGGGACACGUGGUAUCCUGUCUGAAUAUGGGGGGACCAUCCUCCAAGGCUAAAUACUCCUGACUGACCGAUAGUGAACCAGUACCGUGAGGGAAAGGCGAAAAGAACCCCGGCGAGGGGAGUGAAAAAGAACCUGAAACCGUGUACGUACAAGCAGUGGGAGCCUCUUAAUGGGGUGACUGCGUACCUUUUGUAUAAUGGGUCAGCGACUUAUAUUCUGUAGCAAGGUUAACCGAAUAGGGGAGCCGAAGGGAAACCGAGUCUUAACUGGGCGUUAAGUUGCAGGGUAUAGACCCGAAACCCGGUGAUCUAGCCAUGGGCAGGUUGAAGGUUGGGUAACACUAACUGGAGGACCGAACCGACUAAUGUUGAAAAAUUAGCGGAUGACUUGUGGCUGGGGGUGAAAGGCCAAUCAAACCGGGAGAUAGCUGGUUCUCCCCGAAAGCUAUUUAGGUAGCGCCUCGUGAAUUCAUCUCCGGGGGUAGAGCACUGUUUCGGCAAGGGGGUCAUCCCGACUUACCAACCCGAUGCAAACUGCGAAUACCGGAGAAUGUUAUCACGGGAGACACACGGCGGGUGCUAACGUCCGUCGUGAAGAGGGAAACAACCCAGACCGCCAGCUAAGGUCCCAAAGUCAUGGUUAAGUGGGAAACGAUGUGGGAAGGCCCAGACAGCCAGGAUGUUGGCUUAGAAGCAGCCAUCAUUUAAAGAAAGCGUAAUAGCUCACUGGUCGAGUCGGCCUGCGCGGAAGAUGUAACGGGGCUAAACCAUGCACCGAAGCUGCGGCAGCGACGCUUAUGCGUUGUUGGGUAGGGGAGCGUUCUGUAAGCCUGCGAAGGUGUACUGUGAGGUAUGCUGGAGGUAUCAGAAGUGCGAAUGCU